UACAUCUUACUUGCAUGGUGGUAGACCGAGAGCUUGUGCAGAGACUCCCGUUUCUCAAAACCAUCAGAUCUCAUGAGACUUAUGCACUAUCAUGAUAACAGC